rnacentral:rRNA from 1 species
GACGUAGGAUGCAAGCGUUGUCCGGAUUUAUUGGGCGUAAAGAGUUCGUAGGCGGUUCGUUAAGUCUGAUGUUAAAGAUCGGGGCUUAACCCCGAGCCUGCAGUGGAUACGGGCAGACUAGAGGUAGGUAGGGGAGAAUGGAAUUCCCGGUGUAGUGGUGAAAUGCGUAGAUAUCGGGAGGAACACCAGUGGCGAAGGCGACUUCCUGGCCUGUUCUUGACGCUGAGGCGCGAAAGCUAGGGGAGCAAACGGG